rnacentral:rRNA from 1 species
UACGUAGGGCGCAAGCGUUGUCCGGAAUUAUUGGGCGUAAAGAGCUCGUAGGCGGUUUGUCGCGUCUGCCGUGAAAGUCCGGGGCUCAACUCCGGAUCUGCGGUGGGUACGGGCAGACUAGAGUGAUGUAGGGGAGACUGGAAUUCCUGGUGUAGCGGUGAAAUGCGCAGAUAUCAGGAGGAACACCGAUGGCGAAGGCAGGGUCUCUGGGCAUUAACUGACGCUGAGGAGCGAAAGCAUGGGGAGCGAACAGG